UACGGAGGGUGCAAGCGUUAAUCGGAAUUACUGGGCGUAAAGCGUGCGCAGGCGGUUUGUUAAGUCUGCUGUGAAAUCCCCGAGCUCAACUUGGGAAUUGCAGUGGAUACUGGCAAGCUGGAGUACGGUAGAGGAAGGUGGAAUUCCCGGUGUAGCAGUGAAAUGCGUAGAGAUCGGGAGGAACACCAGUGGCGAAGGCGGCCUUCUGGACCAGUACUGACGCUGAGGUGCGAAAGCGUGGGGAGCAAACAGG
rnacentral:rRNA from 1 species